UACGUAGGGUGCGAGCGUUGUCCGGAAUUAUUGGGCGUAAAGAGCUCGUAGGUGGCUGAGUAAGUCGGAUGUCAAAUCCCCAGGCUCAACCUGGGACACCACCCGAUACUGCUCUAGCUAGAGUCCGGUAGGGGAGCAUGGAAUUCCUGGUGUAGCGGUGAAAUGCGCAGAUAUCAGGAGGAACACCAGCGGCGAAGGCGGUGCUCUGGGCCGGAACUGACACUGAGGAGCGAAAGCGUGGGUAGCAAACAGG
rnacentral:rRNA from 1 species